ACGAAUGCCAUCAAAGGCCAGUCACGAUUAUACUGGUCACUCUGGGAAGGAUCCAAAAUAAGUAACUAUGAAACAAGAUGAUUAUAUCACAUGGAUAACUGAGAACUGAGUUGAAGCAGUUGGAGUGUAUAAUUCUUCAGAGAGGAUACGUACAUACCCAGCCUAACUCCAUUUUGCAGGAUCUUCUUUCAAGGUCUUCGUCUGGUGGCAAGUGUGUGAAUGGAGCUCCAGAGAGAGAGAGGUGUUUGUGAUUCAGAGCUUGACCUUAUGCCAGCUUCAAAGUGACAGAUUGAUGUCUUUGCUGGACAUCAGUGGAGCUUUUAUUGGACACACACCUUUUUUACCCUGGCAUAGCAACACGACACUGGCCGAAGUCACUGCAGCCAUAAUGGGAUUUUCCAUCAGAACACAGAGCGAGAAGCUGGCUACGAGCACCACCACAAUCAUGGCUUAGAUCUCUUUAUCGUCAGAAGAACUUCUAUUAAAAUGAAUAGAGGCUGGACUUGAAUGAUCAGAUGAAGAGAAGAGGAAAUUCAAAGAUUAUGAAGUUGAUGGAGAAACUGUCAACGCUGGUCUCAUGGAUCACAUGAUAGCAGAGCUUUUUGAGAAGUCUGUUAAGAAGAUGUUUUCAACGUAGAUACGUUGUGGAAACUGUU
ensembl:lncRNA